rnacentral:rRNA from 1 species
CGUGCCUAAUACAUGCAAGUCGAGCGGAAUGAUGAAGAAGCUUGCUUCUUCUGAUUUUAGCGGCGGACGGGUGAGUAACACGUGGGCAACCUACCUUGUAGAUUGGGAUAACUCCGGGAAACCGGGGCUAAUACCGAAUAAUCCAUUUUGCUUCAUGGCGAGAUGUUAAAAGGCGGCUUCGGCUGUCACUACGAGAUGGGCCCGCGGCGCAUUAGCUAGUUGGUAGGGUAAUGGCCUACCAAGGCGACGAUGCGUAGCCGACCUGAGAGGGUGAUCGGCCACACUGGGACUGAGACACGGCCCAGACUCCUACGGGAGGCAGCAGUAGGGAAUCUUCCACAAUGGACGAAAGUCUGAUGGAGCAACGCCGCGUGAGUGAAGAAGGUUUUCGGAUCGUAAAACUCUGUUGUAAGGGAAGAACACGUACGAGAGUAACUGCUCGUACCUUGACGGUACCUUAUUAGAAAGCCACGGCUAACUACGUG